rnacentral:rRNA from 1 species
AGAAUUUGAUCUUGGUUCAGAUUGAAUGCUGACGGCGUGGAUGAGGCAUGCAAGUCGAACGAAGCCGUAAGCUUGCUUAUGGUUUAGUGGCGGAAGGGUUAGUAAUACAUGGAUGACCUGCCUUUUACCUGGGGAUAACGACUGGAAACGGUCGCUAAUACCGAAUGAGGUAGUUCAAGGGAAGCUUGAGCUAUGAAAGUGGGGGACCUUAGGGCCUUGCGGUAAGAGAGGGGUUCAUGGGAUAUCAGCUAGUUGGUAGGGUAAGAGCCUACCAAGGCAAAGACGUCUAGGCGAGUUGAGAGAUUGACCGCCAACACUGGGACUGAGACACUGCCCAGACUCCUACGGGAGGCUGCAGUCGAGAAUCUUUCGCAAUGGGGGAAACCCUGACGAAGCGACGCCGUGUGAGUGAACAAGGCCUUUGGGUUGUAAAGCUCUUUCGCUUGUGAACAAGAGAGUAGUGCAAAUAGCGCUAUGAUUUGAGGGUAGCAGGUAAAGAAGCACCGGCUAACUCCGUGCCAGCAGCUGCGGUAAUACGGAGGGUGCGAGCAUUAAUCGGAUUUAUUGGGCGUAAAGGGCGCGUAGGCGGAUUAGCGUGUCAGUUGUGAAAUUCUGGGGCUCAACCCCAGCGCUGCAAUUGAAACUGUUAGUCUAGAGGGUAGGCGGAGAAAAUGGAAUUCCACGUGUAGCGGUGAAAUGCGUAGAUAUGUGGAAGAACACCGGAGGCGAAGGCGGUUUUCUAGCCUAACCCAGACGCUGAGGCGCGAAAGCAAGGGGAGCAAACAGGAUUAGAUACCCUGGUAGUCCUUGCCGUAAACGAUGCAUACUUGAUGUGGAGGGUCUCAACCCCCUUUGUGUCGAAGCGAACGCGAUAAGUAUGCCGCCUGAGGAGUACGCCCGCAAGGGUGAAACUCAAAAGAAUUGACGGGGACCCGCACAAGCAGUGGAACAUGUGGUUUAAUUCGAUGCAACGCGAAGAACCUUACCCAGGCUUGACAUGCAGGAGACGCAAUCAGAGAUGAUUGUUCCCGCGAGGGCUUCUGUGCAGGUGCUGCAUGGCUGUCGUCAGCUCGUGCCGUGAGGUGUUGGGUUAAGUCCCGCAACGAGCGCAACCCUUAUCGUUAGUUGCCAACAUUAAGUUGGGGACUCUAGCGAGACUGCCCGGGUGAACCGGGAGGAAGGUGAGGAUGACGUCAAGUCCGCAUGGCCCUUAUGUCUGGGGCUACACACGUGUUACAAUGGUCGAUACAGAAGGCGGCGAAGCCGAGAGGUGGAGCAAAUCCUAGAAAGUCGAUCUCAGUCCGGAUUGUAGUCUGCAACUCGACUACAUGAAGCUGGAAUUGCUAGUAAUGGCGUGUCAGCAAUAACGCCGUGAAUACGUUCCCGGGUCUUGUACACACCGCCCGUCACAUCAUGGGAGUUGGUUUUGCCCGAAGACGCUGACUUAACCGCAAGGGAAGAGGUGUUUAAGGUGAGGCCGAUGACUGGGAUGAAGUCGUAACAAGGUA